UAUUUUGGCCAGGAGCUGAAGUUGGUUGUUUAGUAGUAGUAGUUUGAGUAGUGACCGAAGUAGUAGUCUGGUGUGUGGGUGCAAGAGUAGUUGGGGAAGAAUUAGGUGUGGGUGGGGCAGCUGUGGUCUCUGGUGGAGCUGAGGCGGAUGAUGGGUCUAGGGUAGUUGCAGAAGGUGUGGGUGGGACAGCUGUGGUCUCUGGUGGAGCUGAGGAAGAUAGUGGAGCUGGUGUAGUUGCAGAAGGUGUGGGUGGGGCAGCUGUGGUGUCUUGUGGAGCUGGGGAAUUCACUGGUGCUAAUGUAGCUACAGAAGAGCUUGUGUUAACAUUUUCUCUUGAAGAUAUGGUGGUGGCAUUCUGGGGAAGAAAAGUCACAUUUGGAAGGGUAGUAAUUUUGGUGGCUGGUGAGGAUUUGGGAAUUUGGGGGGGUUAUUAGGUGAAGGUGGAAGCUUAGGCCUACAGCGUUUGUGCAG
rnacentral:lncRNA from 1 species